rnacentral:lncRNA from 1 species
CAGACACAGUGCUCUCUCUGGGUCCUCCUCCUGCAGCUUCCACAAGCUACUGGGCCACCACUCCCACCGCUGCCCCAGGGGUGUAAGAGAAAGCCACUGUGACAUCUCACCAAGGAGUGUCACCUCACAGAGAUUGACAUGCCCUGGAGUGGGAACCAGGCAGCAUGCCUGGCAACCUUGCUGGCCCCAAAACACAGCAUGUUCUUGUGAGGCACUGCGCUCCAGAGCAGACACGUUCCGUGGCAGCAUUGUCUUAGUGAUGGGGGACUCCUCUGUCCUCCUGACUGGUGGCCUGCUCCCAGAAGGAAGGAGGAGAAUAGAGGAGGAAAUUACUGCCUGAGCAGGACUGAAAAGACACAAAGGUGUACAAGGAGAGGCUGGACUGUGCUCGAAUUUGUGAUCAUCCAGAUACAUGCAAACAUCUCAAGAAGAAAUCCAGAUUAUAAAUCCUGUGUAAACAUCUCACUUGCCAAUGUGGAGUCCCAGGAGCAUGCAUAUAUUGUUUUUAGUGUGACCGCACCGUGCAGCUGUAUGGAUCCUUCAGGGAUAGGAAGGAUGGGAAUUAUCUGACAUGUUUUCCAGAUACUUCAACAAGUUUGAAGUUCUUCAGACCUAAGAGCACCCAGUCUGUAAGUUAAUCAUUGAUAUGUCCUCAGCUGUUGGUGAAGACAAAGAUCUGUUGUAAAUUAAAGCACUUUUUGCCAUAAGUUUACGUGACUUUACUGCUAUCCAUACCCUCUCUCAUGUGAGUCCUCAUACUGAGCUUUGGAGUGUGCUUUUUGUGUAUGUUUGUAACUGACUCUUUCAUUCGACUUUCAUUAUAUCUGACAGGGAAAUAAAUGACCAUUUUAUCAAAGUCUGUGAAUUCA